rnacentral:misc_RNA from 1 species
UGCUCCUAGUACGAGAGGAACGGAGUG